CAGUCGCCGCGGUAAUACAGAGGGUGCGAGCGUUGUUUGGAUUUACUGGGCGUAAAGCGCACGUAGGCGGACUUUUAAGUCAGGGGUGAAAUCCCGGGGCUCAACCCCGGAACUGCCUUUGAUACUGGAAGUCUUGAGUAUGGUAGAGGUGAGUGGAAUUCCGAGUGUAGAGGUGAAAUUCGUAGAUAUUCGGAGGAACACCAGUGGCGAAGGCGGCUCACUGGACCAUUACUGACGCUGAGGUGCGAAAGCGUGGGGAGCAAACAGGAUUAGAUACCCCAGUAGUCCCUGUCUCUUAUAU
rnacentral:rRNA from 1 species